rnacentral:siRNA from 1 species
UAGAGGUGAUAAGUACCUUAGC